rnacentral:rRNA from 1 species
UACGUAGGCAGCGAGCGUUGUUCGGAAUUACUGGGCGUAAAGAGUGUGUAGGCGGUGCUCCCAGUCUGUUGUGAAAUCUCCCGGCUUAACUGGGAGGGUGCAGCGGAAACUAGAGUGCUAGAGGGUGGGAGAGGUAAGCGGAAUUCCUGGUGUAGCGGUGAAAUGCGUAGAUAUCGGGAGGAACACCAGUGGCGAAGGCGGCAUCCUGGCCCUGUCCUGACGCUCAGGGGCGAAAGCGUGGGGAGCAAACCGG